AGAGUUUGAUCAUGGCUCAGGAUGAACGCUGGCGGCGUGCCUAACACAUGCAAGUCGAACGGGAAUCUUCGGAUUCUAGUGGCGGACGGGUGAGUAACGCGUAAGAAUCUAACUUCAGGACGGGGACAACAGUUGGAAACGACUGCUAAUACCCGAUAUGCCGCGAGGUGAAACCUAAUUGGCCUGAAGAAGAGCUUGCGUCUGAUUAGCUAGUUGGUGGGGUAAGAGCCUACCAAGGCGACGAUCAGUAGCUGGUCUGAGAGGAUGAGCAGCCACACUGGGACUGAGACACGGCCCAGACUCCUACGGGAGGCAGCAGUGGGGAAUUUUCCGCAAUGGGCGAAAGCCUGACGGAGCAACGCCGCGUGAGGGAGGAAGGUCUUUGGAUUGUAAACCUCUUUUCUCAAGGAAGAAGUUCUGACGGUACUUGAGGAAUCAGCCUCGGCUAACUCCGUGCCAGCAGCCGCGGUAAUACGGGGGAGGCAAGCGUUAUCCGGAAUUAUUGGGCGUAAAGCGUCCGCAGGUGGUCAGCCAAGUCUGCCGUCAAAUCAGGUUGCUUAACGACCUAAAGGCGGUGGAAACUGGCAGACUAGAGAGCAGUAGGGGUAGCAGGAAUUCCCAGUGUAGCGGUGAAAUGCGUAGAGAUUGGGAAGAACAUCGGUGGCGAAAGCGUGCUACUGGGCUGUAUCUGACACUCAGGGACGAAAGCUAGGGGAGCGAAAGGGAUUAGAUACCCCUGUAGUCCUAGCCGUAAACGAUGGAUACUAGGCGUGGCUUGUAUCGACCCGAGCCGUGCCGAAGCUAACGCGUUAAGUAUCCCGCCUGGGGAGUACGCACGCAAGUGUGAACUCAAGGAAUUGACGGGGCCCGCACAGCGGUGGAGUAUGUGGUUUAAUUCGAUGCAACGCGAGACUUUACCAGACUUGACAUGUCGCGAACCCUGUGAAAGCUGGGGUGCUUCGGAGCGCGAACACCAGGUGGUGCAUGCUGUCGUCCAGCCUCGUGUCGUGGAGAAUGUUUGGGUUAAGUCCCGCACACGAAGCGCAACC
rnacentral:rRNA from 1 species